GACACAUUAGUUUAGUGGUAAGACUACUAGGUGCUUUCUCCGUGCCGAAAGUGAUUUCCCUGGAGAUGCUGGGUUCGAUUCCCAACUGUGUCG